UAGGAGAAAGCUGAAAAUCCUUAAAAGAGUAGGCA
ncrna:unclassified sequences DTF805b RNA